UUAUCCGGAUUUAUUGGGUUUAAAGGGUGCGUAGGCGGUUUGAUAAGUUAGAGGUGAAAUUUCGGGGCUCAACCCUGAACUGCCUCUAAUACUGUUGAGCUAGAGAGUAGUUGCGGUAGGCGGAAUGUAUGGUGUAGCGGUGAAAUGCUUAGAGAUCAUACAGAACACCGAUUGCGAAGGCAGCUUACCAAACUAUAUCUGACGUUGAGGCACGAAAGCGUGGGGAGCAAACAGGAUUAGAUACCCUGGUAGUCCACGCAGUAAACGAUGAUAACUCGUUGUCGGCGAUACACAGUCGGUGACUAAGCGAAAGCGAUAAGUUAUCCACCUGGGGAGUACGUUCGCAAGAAUGAAACUCAA
rnacentral:rRNA from 1 species